GAUGAUAUAUUACUAUGAUGAUACUACUGGCAUACAGGUAUAUCCUGUAAAAGAAACAUUGCAUCAAGAGUAUAUUAAGUGCCAAAUUAAAAUGUUACUUCGGUAAAAGAAAAUUCGGAGUGGAAAUAUCUUAGAAAACAGAUGUAUGAACAUGGCUUCUUGCCUAUUUCCCUGAUAGCUGGUUUCCACCACAUUCAGACUCACUAUAAAGCUUAAUCUUAUUUUAGAGACAUUAAGCAAUAGCACAGAAAUGGAAAUUGUGAACGAGAGCAUGAGAAAAAAGAACAAGAUAAAUAGCCCUUUCCUGAUUGUCUUCUAUCAAGUAUGCCACAGACUUCUCUCAAAUGAUCAAUUGCUCAGAAUUCAUACUAGGCCAAGCCUUUGGCUAACAUACAGAGAGUCUGUCCUAUAUUCUACAAGAAUUGGAAGUCCACUGAGUCCAAAGAAAAUACUGAAACAAGCAGUCUUCAAGCAAUCUAGAAGUUUGUCUACCAAUUUGCCCCAUUUAGACUCAGAGCGAAGUAAAAAAGAAUCAUCAACCACCUCCAGUGAAAUGGAAAGAAUCAAUGUCUGUAUCUGAUGAGAGAAGUCAACUACAUCCUCUAAAGUAAUGAGAAUGAGAAGAACUUGAUAUUUUAUUUGAUGAAGAAGUGAAAUAUAGAAGAAUGAAAAACACAUUUACUGAUUGGUCUGAUAAUGAUUCAGAUUAGAAAAUUGAUGAUCAGGAUUCAGAAAAGAUUUUUAUUCUAAUCCGUACUCUGCCUUACAUGAGAAAGCAUCCUAGAGGGUAUCAAACAACAAUAAUGUGUCUUGGGCAAGAAUUUUAAUCUGAACUUGCUAAAGUUAUCAAUAAUAUCAUUAUUAUAUAU
rnacentral:lncRNA from 1 species